CAGUAGCCACGGUAAUACGUAGGUGGCGAGCGUUGUCCGGAAUUAUUGGGCGUAAAGGGCUCGCAGGCGGUUUCUUAAGUCUGAUGUGAAAGCCCCCGGCUCAACCGGGGAGGGUCAUUGGAAACUGGGAAACUUGAGUGCAGAAGAGGAGAGUGGAAUUCCACGUGUAGCGGUGAAAUGCGUAGAGAUGUGGAGGAACACCAGUGGCGAAGGCGACUCUCUGGUCUGUAACUGACGCUGAGGAGCGAAAGCGUGGGGAGCGAACAGGAUUAGAUACCCCAGUAGUCCCUGUCUCUUAUAC
rnacentral:rRNA from 1 species